CUUCGACCAGGGUUCGAUUCGAGCGUAGCGAGAAAGCGUUGCCGCAGGCAACGACCCGAAGGGCGAAGCGCGAAGCGCUGAGUAAUCCUUCCCCCACCACCA
rnacentral:sRNA from 1 species